CGCACCUUGCGCCCCUCGGUAUUCCGUGGAGCAUGCCCGUUUGAGUGUCACGUUGAACCUCACCCUUGUGGCUUUCUUUGACUGCCGCGAGUGGUGGACUUUGGACCGUGCCGGCUGCCGGCUCGUCCUGAAAUGCAUUAGCCGGCCCUGCUUAGGAGGCCCUUGGCUAGCGGUGUGAUAAUUAUCUGCGCCGUGACCUGCCUGGGAAAUCCUUCUGUUCUGUGCUGCUUCCAGUCGUCCCUCUGUAGGACAUCUUUUAAUGCUCUGGCCUCAAAUCGGGUAGGACUACCCGCUGAACUUAA
rnacentral:misc_RNA from 1 species